UUUAUAUAUUAUUCCAGUUUAAUUCAUAUUCUAAAUUAAAUAACUCUAAUUUUGAAAAAAUUUUAUUCAAUGAUUAAUCGAUUUAAUGUAUCAUUUCUUUUUAAGAGAGGCUAGUGUAGUCAAUUAAUCAAAAGCAAGAUGUGAAGCUAUUGAAAUUUAAUAUUUCAGUAUUCAGGUUUAUCCAAAUCUAGUAAUACUAUUUAGGGGAUGAGAAAUAGUUCCUUCGAAUAAAUUGUGUCAUUGAGAAGGAAUUAACUAAUAAUAAUGAAUAAAUAGGUACGCACAGUAAAGGUAGAUGCGCGCAUGUACGCCUGGCUGUAGAGCCACGCCCGAGAACGCAGUCAUUUAGAUCUGAACUCGGAUGAAAUGCAACCAAGUCCACAGCGAAGAGAACAACCCACCCGAUGUGUGCACACUAUUAGACGAACUAUAUACACAUGUAUAUAUUACACUAUUAGAGAAAAAUCUACAAAUCUAUACACGAAAUUUAUCCUUGCAAGAAAACCGGAAAUCUCUCCCUGCGAAAAAAAAGAAAGGAAAAAA